UGCCAAAUAGCUCAAUUGGUAGAGCACCUGACUAGAGAUACAGGGGGCCCUGGUUUGAAUCCCAGUCUGGUUU
rnacentral:tRNA from 1 species